rnacentral:rRNA from 1 species
AUUGAACGCUGGCGGAAUGCUUUACACAUGCAAGUCGAACGGCAGCACGGACUUCGGUCUGGUGGCGAGUGGCGAACGGGUGAGUAAUGUAUCGGAACGUGCCCAGUCGUGGGGGAUAACGUAGUGAAAAUUACGCUAAUACCGCAUACGAGCUAUGGAUGAAAGCGGGGGAUCGCAAGACCUCGCGCGAUUGGAGCGGCCGAUAUCAGAUUCGGUAGUUGGGGGGGUAAAGGCCCACCAAGCCAACGAUCUGUAGCUGGUCUGAGAGGACGACCAGCCACACUGGAACUGAGACACGGUCCAGACUCCUACGGGAGGCAGCAGUGGGGAAUUUUGGACAAUGGGCGAAGGCCUGAUCCAGCCAUUCCGCGUGCAGGAUGAAGGCCCUCGGGUUGUAAACUGCUUUUGUACAGAACGAAAAGGUUUCUACUAAUACUAGGAGCUCAUGACGGUACUGUAAGAAUAAGCACCGGCUAACUACGUGCCAGCCGCCGCAGUAA